rnacentral:rRNA from 1 species
CAGCAGCCACGGUAAAACGUAGGGGGCAAGCGUUGUCCGGAAUUAUUGGGCGUAAAGCGCGCGCAGGCGGUUCUUUAAGUCUGGUGUAUAAGUGCGGGGCUCAACCCCGUGAGGCACUGGAAACUGGGGAACUUGAGUGCAGAAGAGGAGAGCGGAAUUCCACGUGUAGCGGUGAAAUGCGUAGAGAUGUGGAGGAACACCAGUGGCGAAGGCGGCUCUCUGGACUGUAACUGACGCUGAGGCGCGAAAGCGUGGGGAGCAAACAGGAUUAGAUACCCGCGUAGUCCCUGUCUCUUAUACA